rnacentral:rRNA from 1 species
GACGAACGCUGGCGGCGUGCUUAACACAUGCAAGUCGAACGGAAAGGCCCUGCUUGCAGGGUACUCUAGUGGCGAACGGGUGAGUAACACGUGGGUGAUCUGCCCUGCACUUCGGGAUAAGCCUGGGAAACUGGGUCUAAUACCGGAUAGGAGCCAUUUUUAUUGUGAUGGUUGGAAAGUUUUUUCGGUCUAGGAUGAGCUCGCGGCCUAUCAGCUUGUUGGUGGGGUAAUGGCCUACCAAGGCGGCGACGGGUAGCCGGCCUGGGAGGGUGGACGGCCACAUUGGGACUGAGAUACGGCCCAGAAUCCGACGGGAGGCAGCAGUGGGGAAUAUUGCACAAUGGGCGGAAGCCUGAUGCAGCGACGCCGCGUGGGGGAUGACGGCCUUCGGGUUGUAAACUCCGUUCGCUAGGGACGAAGCUUUUUGUGACGGUACCUAGAUAAGAAGCACCGGCUAACUACGUG